rnacentral:rRNA from 1 species
UGGGGAAUUUUGGACAAUGGGGGAAACCCUGAUCCAGCCAUCCCGCGUGUGCGAUGAAGGCCUUCGGGUUGUAAAGCACUUUUGGCAGGAAAGAAACGUCGCGGGUUAUACCCGCGAAACUGACGGUACCUGCAGAAUAAGCACCGGCUAACUACGUGCCAGCAGCCGCGGUAAUACGUAGGGUGCAAGCGUUAAUCGGAAUUACUGGGCGUAAAGCGUGCGCAGGCGGUUCGGAAAGAAAGAUGUGAAAUCCCAGAGCUUAACUUUGGAACUGCAUUUUUAACUACCGGGCUAGAGUGUGUCAGAGGGAGGUGGAAUUCCGCGUGUAGCAGUGAAAUGCGUAGAUAUGCGGAGGAACACCGAUGGCGAAGGCAGCCUCCUGGGAUAACACUGACGCUCAUGCACGAAAGCGUGGGGAGCAAACAGGAUUAGAUACCCUGGUAGUCCACGCCCUAAACGAUGUCAACUAGCUGUUGGGGGCCUUCGGGCCUUGGUAGCGCAGCUAACGCGUGAAGUUGACCGCCUGGGGGAGUACGGUCGCAAGAUU